CGGGGGCGAGCGGCUGUGCGCGGGGCCAAGGGCGGGGGCAGCAGGCCGGAGUCCUGAAAGUCGAGCGAGCUCCGGGUUUUGAAAAUGUUGGAGGGAAAAGCUCCUCGGAGAUGAGCGUGACCCCCUGGCUCGUGGUGGCCGCCUGUUCUCACUAACGCCAUGGCGGGGACCGGAGUGAGAAACCGGUGUCUGUCACUGACUGCAAAGUGAGCGAGAAGCAGGCUGCGGGCCGUCCCAGCACGACGUGGAGCCCCGCGGAGACCUCGAGAUGCCCCGCGGGGAAGCUCCUGGCCCCGGGAGACGGGGGGCUAAGGACGAGGCCCUGGGCGAAGAAUCGGGGGAGCGGUGGAGCCCCGAGUUCCAUCUGCAGAGGAAAUUGGCGGACAGCAGCCACAGUGAACAGCAAGAUCGAAACAGAGUUUCUGAAGAACUUAUCAUGGUUGUCCAAGAAAUGAAAAAAUACUUCCCCUCGGAGAGACGCAAUAAACCAAGCACUCUAGAUGCCCUCAACUAUGCUCUCCGCUGUGUCCACAGCGUUCAAGGUAAACAAGCCGGAGAGAAAUUUCAUCCUACGAAUGCACCAGGACUCAUACAAGCAGCCAGAGGAGUGGUCAGUGGGGUCUCAGUCAGACAAAUAAUUUGAGCUUUUUCUGGUGCUUUGUGGAAGAUGAGCAAAUCUACACCGAUUCCAUUCGUGUCUUAAUUGUUCACAUGUGAAAGACCAGGAAAACUUUAUCUGUAUAAUAGUGUAUAAUACCUAUGCAAUGUUUUGCUCAUGUGUUGCAAGAGAGUAGAGUUUAGCAUAAGCACAUUUUGAAGGCUGACCUUUUAAAGAAAUAUUGUCUUCUAUGGAAGUUAUGGG
rnacentral:lncRNA from 1 species